CGUAUAAAAAUGAACCAUUAAAUCCAUUGUGAAAACUGUAUAAAAACAAUAGAAUCUUAUGUUAACAGUGAUUUCUAUUGUAUAUGUAUUGUGAAGCACAUUCCAAAAUUUCAUUUGCUGUAACGAUUACAAUAGGUUAACAUUAGAUUUCAUUGUAACAUUAGUUUCUAUGGGCAUACAGUAGAUUAACAUUAGAUUUCAUGGUAACAAUGUUUUCUAUCAUUUUGAUGGGCAUACAGUAGAUCUACAUAAAAUUCAAUUGUUAUCAUUAAGUUUCAUAUCGAAUGCCAUGACACCAGAUGAGUGCCAUGGAGUUUGGUCGAUUUUGCGUAACACUCACACUCUUUUGUGUUAUAAAUUUUAAGCGUGAUUGUUUUGAUUGCAAAAUUUCAACUCAACUUCUUCGGCUGCAGUGAAAUUGAUUUCUAAUUUGUAACUCAUCAAGGAAGGCUGAACAUGAACGAAAAUCGAGAGAGAAAUCUACGCCAACAGCAAACUGGAGCGGUUGAGGGUUGAUGUUCGACGAACUGCACACCGCGAGUCGCCCGCAAACGUUCGACGGUUGAAUUGCCACCCGGCACCGUGAAUCGCUAAGUUGAUCAAACUUCCGGACGCCAUAUAGUAUGGAUUUGCCAUUGGGAAUAUUGUCGUCGCGGUUGAAACCCGAAGUUUCCACACACCCGACAAUCGAAUUUUAUCAAAAUCCAUACGUGAAACCUAACGUCGGACGUAGGGCGCUGGACAGCGGACCUGGCCCUCUAUCCAGCGCACUGUGCCCGACGUACGUCCGACACACGGUUUAGGAGAAAAAUCGAUUUUCGCGUGUCAAAAAUUCCGAUUUUCAACUGCACGAACAAUAUUGCGCCACCACCCGAAGCCAAUAAACCGCGCAUUUUGUAUCUUCCCAGGCGAAUCUGAGUCUGGCUGCACCGAUGCAGCUGGGUGAAGGACGUGCCGGAUGAAGGAUGAGUCUCCGCCCAGCAACCAUGAGGAGGUGUCAGCAAGAAGGUGCAGGAUAUAGCGGCCGUUAAGUAUGCCGAACGGAUGGCAAGGGCGGGAUGGAAUGACCUCGGGAAUGACAUAUCAGUGCUGUGUGUUAGGACAUUCCAGACGCAUCCCAGAUUCCGCCGAAGUGGGGUGCCUCGGGCGGGUUAAAACACCACUCGAUUCCGGCGUCGCUUGCUCGUCGGAUGCCUUCUUGAGUUUCGUUGGUCUCUUCAGUAGAUUCGCUGCACCGACAAAGUUGUUCCUGUUGUCGGUCCAUACGCUCGUUGGCUUGCCUCGCCGACACACAAACCGGUCAAUUGCAGUGGUUAACAGCACGCUGACGAUUUCGAGGUGGAUCGACGGUCGAACGAUUGUUUAUCGAAAUUUAUCGAAACCCCAGCUACCAUAUUAAAAUCGUCUUUUGCAUUUGGACUUGAUUAGGACGCAUUGAUGGAUCUUCAAAUAUUGAUUCACUUUUUAAGCCUGGAGUGCAUGCAUGCGACUGAUUGAAAUUCGUUAGUUUUAUUUUCUUGUGGAUUUACUGUAGAAUUCAACACAGUUUAUGAUUGUUCUCCAAGCUGUAAUCUGUCGAGUGUCUUUAAAUGCUAUCAAUGGUUAAGCCUGCUGUAAUGUUACAUUUGUACCUCAUCACCCACUUAAUGCAACUACAUUAGUGGUCUAACAACACUAGCGCGCUCGGCUCGGUUCCAUCAUGCCGCUUAUAGUGUUGCCACAUAUAAUGUUAUGUUUGCUAAACCCAGUUAUCUGGCUGGUGGGGCACGGGAGCCUAAGCUACAACCAUUAAUGCAGUAAGACAAUACUUCAAAUUAAACAAAAGUGAUCUGAAUAUUUAAAGAUUUAUUGAAAAUAUAGAAGCUUUCGUAGCCAAAUUUUAACAAACUUGUUUUGUGAAGAUAGUUAUGUUUUGCUUUCUUUUGGGGCUGAUUUUCCUGUUUAUUUCCUUAUUAUCACAGGGUUAUAUAGCACCAUCUUGUGCAUAUGAACGCUUUGAACAGUCUUAUAAUAUAGGUUCGCUCUUAAAGACUGAAAUGCAUGCAUACUAUGGAAUUGAAUUUAAUCAUUUUCUCAUGGAUUAACUAUUAAAUUCGACGCCAUAGUAUGCUGUAUUCUGCAAGUUGUAGUCUAUCGAGUGUUUUAAGUGCUACAAAAAUGGUAAAGCACGCUAUAAUGUUACUUUUGUACCUCAUCACCCACUUAAUGCAACUACAUUAGUGGUCUAACAACACUAGCGCGCUCGGCUCGGUUCCAUCAUGCCGCUUAUAGUGUUGCCACAUAUAAUGCUAUGUCUGCUUAACCCAGUUAUCUGGCUGGUGGGGCAUGGGAGCGUAUGCUUCAACCAUUAAUGCAAUUAAACAUCACACGAUUUACAACAUGAGUGAUCCAUAUAUUAUAUGAUUGUUCAAGCUAAGAAUAUGUACUUAAAAGGCAGCUUAAUAUAUGUAACCUUCUAGUCUUGCUUCUAGUCCAAAUGUAUAGAUAGAAAAUGUGGUUUACUUAAUUUGCAGUACAACAAGAAACCCAUUUCAAAACGUCUAACAUUUUUGUCAAAUUUGACUGAACAAUUUCAUUUGAUAACAUUAGGUUCACAACAGAAAACAAUUACCAAACCAUUGAAUCGAAUAUUCGAUCGUAAUAAAAUCACUGCUCAAAGCAAUACGUUAAUUGUACUUUUAACUAACAUUAGAAUCUUAUGUAUUACAAUAGAAAACCAUUCCGAAACAAUUGAAUGUAAUGUAAAAACAGCUUAAAAUAAUAUGUUCGGUUUCACAAUUGAAAACAAUUCCUAAACCAUUGAAUCGAUUGUUGUACUAGUAAUGAAAUCACUGUUUAAAACAAUAAGUUUACUGUUCAUUCCACUGUUUUUAACAAUUCUAAAAUAUUAGAAUCUUCUGUAUCACAAUAGAAAACCAUGUUUAAACAAUUGAAUUCAAUGUUAAAAACAAUACAAAACAGUGUGUUCUUUAUCACAAUUGAGAACAUUUCACAAACCAUUGAAUCCAAUUUUGAACUAGUAAUGAAAUCACUGUUCAAAACAAUUCAUUUACUAUUAAUUUCAAUGUUUUGACAAUUCAAAAACAUGAGAAUCUUCUGUAUCACAACACAAAACCAUUCGUAAACAAUUGAAUUCAAUGUUAAUAACAGUACAAAACAGUAUGUUCUUUAUAACAAUAGAAAACAAUUGACAAACCAUUGAAUGAAAUGUUGAAUCAACAAUAAAAUCACUGCUCAAAACAAUACGUUUACCAUACAUUUCACUGUUGGCAAGAAUUCGAAAACAUAAAAAUCUUCUGUAUCACAAUAGAAAACCAUCCCCAAACCAUUGAAUCUGAUGUUAGAUCACAGUUCAAAACAGAAUGUUCUUGGCAUAUAUAACUGUUCAAAACAAUACAAAUACAUAAAAAUCUAUGGUAUAUUUUAUUCCACGUAUCGGCAUUAACAACAUUUCAUUAACAUUAGAAUUUUCUGUUUUGCGAAAAAAGUUGUAUGGAAAAAAGGCUUUUUUUGUAUUGUUACGAUACUUAACAACCUAUACAAUUCAAUGUGAAAUGCUCAUUCACAUUUGAUUCUAUUGUUGAAAACAAUUGAUUCUAUUGUUUUUUUUAUUGUUAUUUUAACAUUGAAUUCUAUUGUAAGAGCAUUGUAUUCAAUGGUACUGUUACAUAAGAAUCCUAUGUUUUUCUAUUGUAUUUUUUAUCCGGG